rnacentral:rRNA from 1 species
CGUAAAGCGCAUGCAGGUGGUUUGUUAAGUCAGAUGUGAAAGCCCGGGGCUCAACCUCGGAAUUGCAUUUGAAACUGGCAGACUAGAGUACUGUAGAGGGGGGUAGAAUUUCAGGUGUAGCGGUGAAAUGCGUAGAGAUCUGAAGGAAUACCGGUGGCGAAGGCGGCCCCCUGGACAGAUACUGACACUCAGAUGCGAAAGCGUGGGGAGCA